rnacentral:rRNA from 1 species
UGUGCGCUUAACACUUUGUGAUUCAUGACUGGGGUGAAGUCGUAACAAGGUAACCGUAGGGGAACCUGCGGUUGGAUCACCUCCUUACCUUAAAGAA